AUGCCCAGCUCUCCCUCUUCUCCCCCGAAUUUGUUCUCCCUCAUGACCACCACCCGUAAGCCACACACAGACCCAUCUCUCUUCGCCACCACAGCCACCCGCAAAACCCAGAACCAUCUCUCUUCGCCAUCUCUGUCAGACCACCACCAUCAAACCCAUAACCAGCCGCCAGAGACCCAAUCGAACCAUCAUCAGCACCCAAUCAGUCAAACAAAGCAUCAUCACCACCCAUAA
rnacentral:lncRNA from 1 species